CUUACAUUAGAAGUCCAGUACAAAACAGAUGUGAACAGAUGGCCUGCCAUUUUAAUCUUCCCCACAUCUCCCUGGAAUAGUUCUGAAGAAACCAGAGGCCAAUGUGAAGACAAGUUAUCUACAGUUUCCUCACUUUCACACACAUCGCAGUGGGACUGGCCAUAUUUCGAGUACUGAAUAGUCAUAUGUGGCUAUUGGCUACCAUACUGGACAAAACAGAUCUAAGGUUUUCCUUUUGCUGUCUUCACUGCUAGGAAGCUAAAUUGUAAAAACCUAGAUUACUUUUUAAACAUGGGAAGCCUUCAGAUGGUUUUUCAACUUUAUAAGUCUUACUCUUGGUGAAAGGAAGAUGAGCUGUAUAUUUUAGCUAUGCAGAAAGAAAAAGAAAUUUACACAUCUUUAAGACUAACCAAGAAAAUAAUCUCAUCUGAAAAAAAUAUUGAGGGGAAUAAGGUUGAAGAGAAAAAUUUUUUAGGACAUUUCUGACUUCCCCUCUUAUACAGAAAAAUUUUUCAAUAAAGUGGA